ensembl:lncRNA
GACCCUCCCAGGUAGAUCUUGGUCAAGGCAUGUGAAGGGACAGUUGGGGGUUGGGGGGGAGCUGUAUUCAGCCUGCAGGCUGUAGUGUACUGCUCUGGUUUAGCAGGCCGAUCUUAAUUGUUCAAACUCCCUCCCUUCUUAGUGUUGUCCCUUAUUUUAGAGACAAAGUGCUAGAAAAGCCAGAGUCUGUUCAGUGAUCACAGAAAGGUCGCUAACAACCACAAAAGGCCACCUUUAGAGAAAAACCUCCACCAAGUGGAAGCAACAGAAAUUGGGAGCUUUUACCCUCCGGCAGAUGCUGAGAAAUGAAGAUUCUACUUUCUUCCCAUUGUCCCUCAACGGAAGGCUGGGUGUUUUAAUUAGCUAAUGUUGGCAAAUUGCUUUGAAGAAAAUUGUAAAAUGUUUCGUGCUCCAAGUGCCAAGAAUUCUAAUUAGCUUUUCUUAAAGAUACCACCUGGAAGCGUGAGCGCUUGUUGCUCGAGGUCCCAGCCAGCAAGAAUAACCUGCGGACCCCAAACCGGUUUUUAAGCAAACGCAACUGAAUACAAACAGAUCUCUACAUUGAUGUCACACUUUCUUCCUUCUGCUGAAUAUGAUUCCUAGCAGCUGGGAUAUUAAGCCCCCAGAAUGGAGCAUCACCGAGACUUCCAGGUGACGACUGUGGUCGGGCAUGGUGAGCCCUACGAAUACAGCUGCAAACCAGUGUCGUGGAGGCGGGGCCCACGUGCAAAGCCACUUCCCCCUCCUGGUACUGCUCUUUUAGCGUCUGGUGUCUGCAGGGUAUUUCUCCCACCUUAUAUACACAGCGAUGGGGGCAUACUGUAAAGUGUAGCUAAUUAGGAGAAAUACGACUUCAAACUGAGACUCUUCCACUGACUGCACGGCUUUGGCAAAUGUCUUCACUUUAAAAACUCAGUUUGCCAAUCUCUACAAUGGGGGUAAUAAUACCCAGGUAUCCGUUUCCUCAUGAGGAUGCCAUGAAAAGAGCAGGGCUCCUCACCUGGCCUGGCCUACUUAAGACCUCACUGGGGAGCUGCUAUUAUUAUUUCCUACCUGCCAGGGCCUUCCUUUAUCCAGCUCAGCCCAUCGACAGGGUUCACCGGCCUCCUCCCUUCGCCUCUUGAGUGUGGCUCCC